GACGAACGCUGGCGGCGUGCUUAACACAUGCAAGUCGAACGGAAAGGCCCUGCUUUUGUGGGGUGCUCGAGUGGCGAACGGGUGAGUAACACGUGAGUAACCUGCCCUUGACUUUGGGAUAACUUCAGGAAACUGGGGCUAAUACCGGAUAGGAGCUCCUGCUGCAUGGUGGGGGUUGGAAAGUUUCGGCGGUUGGGGAUGGACUCGCGGCUUAUCAGCUUGUUGGUGGGGUAGUGGCUUACCAAGGCUUUGACGGGUAGCCGGCCUGAGAGGGUGACCGGCCACAUUGGGACUGAGAGACGGCCCAGACUCCUACGGGAGGCAGCAGUGGGGAAUAUUGCACAAUGGGCGGAAGCCUGAUGCAGCAACGCCGCGUGCGGGAUGCCGGCCUUCGGGUUGUAAACCGCUUUCGCCUGUGACGAAGCGUGAGUGACGGUAAUGGGUAAAGAAGCACCGGCUAACUACGUG
rnacentral:rRNA from 1 species